CAAGCCAAAWUAAGGUGAAACCGCGAAAGGCUCAUUAAAUCAGUUAUGGUUCCUUAGAUSGUACCCACAAUUACUUGGAUAACUGUGGUAAUUCUAGAGCUAAUACAUGCAAACAGAGCUCCGACCGGAGACGGAAGGAGUGCUUUUAUUAGAUCAAAACCAAUCGGUGGCGGGUUCGCUCGUCAUCGUACAACUUGGUGACUCUGAAUAACUUUACGCUGAUCGCACGGUCAUCGCACCGGCGACGCAUCUUUCAAAUGUCUGCCUUAUCAACUGUCGAUGGUAGGUUCUGCGCCUACCAUGGUUGUAACGGGUAACGGGGAAUCAGGGUUCGAUUCCGGAGAGGGAGCCUGAGAAACGGCUACCACAUCCAAGGAAGGCAGCAGGCGCGCAAAUUACCCACUCCCGGCACGGGGAGGUAGUGACGAAAAAUAACGAUACGGGACUCAUCCGAGGCCCCGUAAUCGGAAUGAGUACACUCUAAACCCUUUAACGAGGAUCAAUUGGAGGGCAAGUCUGGUGCCAGCAGCCGCGG
rnacentral:rRNA from 1 species